GACUCGGUAAGACCAGAGACGCAAACGUUAAUCAUCAUAAACAGGCGUAAAGGGUUUGUAGGCAGCUUUUAUAAGGUUAUGAUUUUAACAAAAUAUAAAAUAAUCUACAUUGAAAGCUAGAAUCAAAAAGAGGUUAUAGUGUAUAACGCCUAGAGGAGGGCUGAUAUCCAUAGAUCCUAGGCAGAAUACUCAGGGCGAAGGCCACUCUCCAUUAAUGAUUGACGCUGAGAAACGAAGGUUAGGGUAGGAAAUAGGAUUAGAUACCCCGGUACUCCUUUCUGUAAACGAUGAAUGGUAGUCAUUAGUUUAAUUAAAAUAACUAGAGGCGAAGUUAACACAAUAACCAUUCCGCCUUGUGAGUACUACUGCAAAGUAGAAAACAAAAAAAUUAGUCGGUCUCGAAGCAAACGGAGUGAAGCAUGUUAUUUAAUACGAUAAUCCGCGUAAAACCUUACCAGAACUUGCAUACAAACUAUCUUUUUUCUUUACUUUGGUUAAACAGGGAAAAGAAAGAGUAGGAGUAUUUUAUAUAUUUAAAGUACUUAAGUACAGGUGU
rnacentral:rRNA from 2 species